UCGUAUAAUCGCCGGAGAAAGCCAUAGAAAGAAAAUCUUAGGGUUCAAACAAUGACGACGGCGACUGAGACUAUCUCCGCCGCGAUAAAUCAGAUUGAUGAGAAGAAGGAACAGUUAAAGAAAGCUUUCGACGAUCUUCAAGCUCAUCGAUCUCUCCUUUCACCGUCUUUCUCUCUUUCCUGGUCUGAGAUCGACUCCCACUUCUCCUCUCUCCAAUCCUCCCUCUCUAACCGAUUCCGCCUCCUCCAAUCAGCAUCUCCUGUGAAAGAUGAUUCGUCUAGACUCGAAACUUCUGAUCCAGAGACAUCUCCGGAGGAUCAUCAACCCGUUGUUGAGCCGGAGUUGAGAACGUUGUGUGAGAAUAAUGACGGAAUUGGUUUGACAAAGUAUUUGAUCCGUCGUUGGGAUGAUGAUGCGCCUAUGAACCUCGAGGCUUCUGCUGCGAUUCGCUACUCUCCGAAUCCGGCGUCAAUGGUGCUCGACGCGAUCGAAGGUUCGAAGCAGAACCACACUCCAUCGUCGUCAUCGGGGAAACCAUUCGAUGUAAGGAGAGUUUUGGUUUUGUUAAUGGAAGCUUUGAUUGAGAUCAAUGCGAGUAUCACGGUUGAUACGAGAAAGAGAGCUAAGAAACUGGCUUACGAUUUGAAAACGAAGAUAGGUUCAAAGCCUUUCGAGGCGUUAGUGUUUUUGCAUUUAGUCGCAGCUUUCGAAUUAGGAUCUGAGUUUGACUCUGAGGUGCUUUCUGAUUACGUUUUCAUGAUCGCUAAAUACAAGCAAGCUACUACGGUGUGUAACAAGAUUGAUUUAGGUAGCGAAAGAGUUGGAUUACUAAUCAAGAAGCUCUUGGAUUCUGGUAAACCAAUCUUUGCAGUUAGAUUCAUGUAUGAGUGUGGGAUGACUGAUGAAUUCGAACCAAUCACUGUUUUGAAAGCUCACAUUAAGGAUUCGAGAGAAGCUGCUCGUAAAGUUUGUAAGGAAGAUAACUACUCUCUGAAGUCACAGAACGAAGCCAUCGAUAAAGAAGUCAGUGCAUUGAAAUCAGCGAUCAAAAUCAUCAAAGAUCAAAACCUUGAAUCCGAGUUUACUCAGGAGAAAGUUGAGGAGCGUGUAGAGGAGCUGGAGAAAUGCAAGGCACUGAGGAAACGCAACACCACUAAUACUCCCCAGAAAGAGUCACAGCAAAAGGGGAAAAAGCGGGAUCGAGACUGCAAUGUGACACAAGUUCCAGUUACGAGUCAGCAGCUACUUUCUAGACCAGAAGCUCUUCUUAUGCCGCCUGAGCAUAGUCAUCGUGGCUUACAGUUAAAUUCUUAUGGUCUUAUGACCCCAGCAUUUACUGGUGUUGUUGUGAACCCAUUAGCUGGGCACUUUGGUUCAGCUGCAACUCCUCAAUCUCUUUACUAUACUCAACAAACUGGAUUUGUGUUGCCGCCUGGAUACCACCCACCUUAUUAUUCUCAGUAGCAGCAUCUCGACCCUCUUUGUAGCACUAAGAAGGUUUUGGAAACAGAAGAUUAAGAAAAGUCCUUGGAGCAAGCGUAAUUCCUGUCUGAUGCAUAUGCCAUAGAUUUAUAGGCUAGAAGCUCCAUUCUGGCAAUGUGACAAAUAGGACAUGGGCAUUAGCAAUGUAGUUUGAAACAAGAGCUCUUGAAAUGGAUCGCAUGUGAAAUGGAUUUUGG